UACGGAGGGUGCAAGCGUUGUCCGGAAUCACUGGGCGUAAAGGGCGCGUAGGCGGCUCAUGAAGGCUGUGGUGAAAGUCCGGGGCUCAACCUCGGAUCGGCCGUGGCGACUCGUGGGCUGGAGCACUGUAGAGGCGGGUGGAAUUCCGGGUGUAGCGGUGGAAUGCGCAGAGAUCGGGAGGAACACCCGUAGCGAAGGCGGCACUCUGGGCCGGUACUGACGCUGAGGAGCGAAAGCGUGGGGAGCAAACAGG
rnacentral:rRNA from 1 species